ensembl:lncRNA
CGCGCACUGCUUCCAUCACCCACAAUCACAGCUGUCCCUGCCACGUCCGCUGUGGUUUCUGCUUGGCCCACUGGGCCCUCGUUCAGUCGUUGGCAGGAGCAGUGACCCCUCUGCUUGCUCACAUGCAAAGCUCAUGUGUUGACGACUGUCCCGACGACUGUCUUGAAGGACACAGUGGUAGUCCCUGGCCCGCCGAGCCCCAGAGGGGUCUGUAGGUACAAAGCCCUGGCUGAUGGAGAGACUGGAGGAUUCAGUAGAUCCAGGGUGUUACCGGACGGACGGCUUUGAAUAAAGCAGGUGGCCUUUCCUAGUGGGCGGGGCCUCUCCCAGGCCGCUGUAGGCCUGAGCAGAGAAAAUGCCCCGCAUGCAGCGUCUCCCUGGUCUCCAGCUCGGAGUCACCUGCAAAUCUCAGACUCUCCAGACCCCAAGCCGUGGAGAUGGUUCCUUCGACCGACAGAUAAAAACUUCACCUACGUGUUGGAAAUCUCUUAUCUUCCAGGAAAAAGUCACUCAACUGCCGAGUGGAGGUGAUGUGAACGCUUGGAUGUGGGGUGAGCGGAGAAUCACUGUGCAGAGCUUCCCGGGCCAGGCUCCCAGAACAGGCCUGAAAUUAACAUCUGCAGAAGACCAGGAGCCUUGAGGGAGGGGAGAGGCCAUGCUCACCGCCAGAUGCUGGCCAUUUCCGUGGGUGGCCCUGCCCAGACCUGGCGCCCAAUGGAGCCCCUUACCCCAACUGCAGGCUGCCCACCCUCCCCUUCUGAGCACCCUGCCUUCGGGCUCACCGCAGAUUUCCUGGUGAAAGCACCACUACCCAGAUUCUAGCUCCAGAAUCCAGUGUCACUGAUGAUGGGCAGAAAGAAUCGACCCUCUUCUCCCAUGAAAACAGUUCAAAUUUUAAAAUCUUUGCUCUGAUUUUCCCUCCUAGGUUUCUAUUAGGUUCUACUUCAUUUUCUUCAGUGCUUUGGCAUUAAGGCCUUUUAUUUUAGUUCAUGCAUUCUUUUUUACAUUUUCAAGUUUUCCAUUUGGUGUCUUUUAGUUUGGAAAACUGUCAUAAAGUAUUCACUUACAAAUAGUCUUUCUCUUAUUGGCAACAUUAUAUACACACAAUUCUUUAAAAAAAAUUUUUUUGCUCCCAAGAUAACAAAUGUGCAUUGAAAAAUUAGGGUACCAUAGAAAUGCCUAAAAAAUGAAAGUCAUAAUUGCAUGCACAUGGAUAACACUACCAAUACUCUGCUAUAUGCACACUUCAUCUCUUUCCACAGUGUAUGCACACACAGUUGUACUGCACAUACUUGUUUCUGAGAUAGGGUCUCCCUAGGUUCUCCAGGCUGGGCUCGAACUUGAC